GACGAAUGAUUUUCGAGAAGAUACUUUAUCUGACUUAAAUGGGCCUAACCCAAUUUACCUUCGAUGGCUGCAUAUUUAAAUGAACAAUUGAAUGUCUAUCCUAAGUCGUAACUAAUUUACGAAAUUUAAAUUAUGUCAGAGAUAUACCAGACUAAAUGAAGGCAAAAGCAAUUCCAAUAGUUCAGAAGUAUUGCAGAGGAUCAGAAUUGAACGAUAUCUGGAUUGUAAUUACGUCCAAAGAAGAUAUAUGGAUUUCAACUAAGCUUAAUACGAUCAUUAAACAUUUGACAUCCAAAAUGAAACGCUCUUCCAUUGGUACAUCCUGUUUUUCCUCAAAUCCGACGAUUCGUUCUACUUGGAUAGUAGAAAUGUCGGAACGUCAACGAGCGUAGGAAAUGGAAACGUUUACCUCUUCAGUCUUAUAUUUCAAUGAGAUUUUAUCAUGGCGACUAGAAUAUUUCUAUAGUGGAACAUUAUUCGAGCAUAUUGAAGCAGAAGAGUGUUUCAAGAGGCAGUUGAAAAUUCUAACAAAGGAAGGAACAUCGUUAGCUAUUGUUCAUGUAUGCAUUAUGUGAUUGUGAAUACCUAGGAAGAGGAAAAAGAAGAAAAUACAUACGUGCUUGACGACGAAGUUUCGAAAGACCAAUAUGGCGCUGUUUUAUAAAACUUGGAACCCUCGUACGGGGAAAUGGGAGGGACCUUCCUUCUUCAAAGCAUCUAACCGUGAGCUGCUUCAGUUGGAGGGUAUAAGCGAUUGUGCUCAAAAAGAUUUGUCGAUGAGCCGUCCGACGUUCCACGCGGGGCAAGGAUCACAGGGGAAUUAAAAUGAAACUGAGGGACGUUUAUCAUAUAAAAUAAUUGAACAGACAGGGACGAUCAAAAGAUUCAUCUUUUUUCAAAGUAAUACCAUUAGCAGGGGAAUACUUUUAAAUUAAACGUGAAAUAGAAAGUCCACGUCACGUCAUUGUUGUUCCAUCGAUUUAAAUUAAAUAACCAUUCGAUAUAAUUAAAAAGGUAGAAGUAUUGAAUUCUAUAUUUCAAACUGUUUGCCGAAAUAUUCACGACAUAUACAUAAAAAAUAUUCGUAAUACUUAAUUAGAGUUUUUCUUAAAUAUUGAUAUUUGGAUGAAAUAAUUUGGUGCGUAACGCUAAUUACCCAUUUAGUAUAUUACGAAAGGAAUUUCGUGAUAGUGGAUGUCCGUAAUACGUUCUCCCAUAUUUAUCCUCAAGUACCUUCGUUUAAACCUUUCUCCAUUAUCUCUCUCCAUGUACGUGUGCUCUGGUGCGCGUCUAUCGGCAUCAGAUCGAGUGGCUUGCAUUGAGUGUGCGUGUGUACGUAGAACUCCUGCCUUAUUUUGAUAAUAAGGAAGGUAUUUUUUCAUUUGUUUUCUUGUCAUCAAACCAAGCAAACAAUAGGAGAUUGGCUGUAUAAUUCAAUAACCUAUUUAGAUUCAUUGUUUGAUAACAAGCUUACAUAUUUUGCAGAACAAUAGCCUAUUUUCUAAGGAACCAAUUGAUUUGGAACCUUAUAUACGUUAGAUUAGAUAAUUAGAAGUGUAAUGGUAUUAUUGUUUUGCAUUCUCCAAUAGGGAGUAACUUUCCGGAACAAUUUAUCCGUUCAUAUGGAAGAAUCAUAUCAGCCGUGGUAUAUCGAUCCGCAAAAGACAAAUGAAAUCAUACAGCUAAAUAGAUAAUUGAAUUAUACCGUUAAUCCUAUUAUCGCAUUGUCUGCUUGGUUUGAUGAGGGAGAACUAAUGAAAAAAUACCAUCCUUGUUUUCGAAAUAAGAGAGGAGAUGUACGCAAACACGCGCACUCAUUUCCGUCCACUUGACUGGAACACGUAUACGUGCAUGUGCACGGAGAGAGUUAGUAAUAAAUCGUUCAAUAUGAAAGUGCUAAACGAUAGGUAGGAGAGAACGUAUUCCUCAACGAGCAAAUCGUUAAAUGCCGAUCAAUACCCCUUAACAAGGGAAUUUGUAGGCAUGGAGAAUCAUAUAUUUUUGCAGAAAAAUCACAAUUUUGUCCAUUAUAAUUUUCUAUGAUGUCUGUGAUAAAUGUUGAAUCUAUUCUUUUCCAACAUUAUCAUCCCUCGCAUUAUCCGUGAGGUCUUUCCGUUUUUUUGUUAGAUGUAAUGACUAUCACUCCUAUCGUUUUCUUCCCGAUUAAUAUUUUUUUUUUCUAAGAUGUCUGUUUUAAUGUUUGUCUUGUAGCCAAAAUUCUCCUUCGAUAUUACUUAUGGCACGAAACUUACUCGUGUUUGGAAAUUUUGCCAUUCUCUUAAUGAAAAAGAAAUGAGUAAGUAAACAGGUUGGAAGACUGAAAUUGUAUAUUACGAAAUCACGAAACGAUAUAUACCAAAGGAAUAUUACGUUUCUGAUUUUUUGGCUUAUUAGUGUAGGGAACUAUCUGUUUCACUAGAAAUUUCAAUACGACACGAGUUCAGCUUCGCAAAUCUCCCCUCAGUUUCAUGAUUGCUUGUUUACUCCAUCAAAUAUCAUUGCAUCGUACGAAGCGUACUCGCGUACAAUUGCAGACAAGUCCUUAUCUCUCUCUUUAAGUGGUUUAUAGAAGCCCUCAGACCGUUGUGAACGUACUUCUUUUUCAUAAAAUCGACUGACAUUCUUUUCAUAUAACUUGGUAAUUUGACCAUUUCUUGAUUAACUAACCGAGUGGUUCUCUCGAAGGGAAAAUACGGUAAAGAGGGGAAGGUAAUAUUAGGAAACCAUAAAUGUGACGAAAGAUUUUCUCCGAAUUCGUUUUUUAUUAUUAUGGAAUAGCGAAAAUGCUAUCUUCGAUAACUUGAGCAAUAUGCAUUUGUUUACAAGAAAAGGAAAUAAUAUUUGGAGAAAAUGUUUUCAUGCAAUAUGGCAGUAGAUAUAACUUCCGACGAAAAAAUUUUUUAAGAGAGAUGAUUUUACUAUAAGAAUUACAUAGUAUAUACGUAGCACGAAAAUUUAUAGUGAUAUCAUUAUGAAUAAUAGAAUACUAUAUAGAAUCAUUAGGAAUAAUAGAAUACUGGUAAUAGAAUACUAUAAUAUCCAUAAUAUCAUUAUGAAUAAUAGAAUACUGAUAAUAGAAUACUAUUAAGCAUAAGUCAGACUUACAAAAAAAAUAACAGUGCGAAUUUCCUAUAUUAAUAUCCGAUUAACUUCAUAAGAAUUAGUCUUCAUAAUUACAAUAAUUAUUAUUAUAAUAAUUAAUUAUAUUAUAAAUAAUUACAGUUUUAUGUGAUUAUUUCAAUUAAAAAAUAGACGAAUUAUUGUAAGAUUCUCAUUAGGAAAUUCCAUGAUAUAUUACACAGAUAAUUUCGCAUGAACAUAGAGUAUAUAUACAUAUAAUUACAUAACUAUAGGAGUGGGGAAAUUAUUUAUCCCCAUGCGUUCUAGUUAGAUAAUUAGAUUUUAGGAAGCUUGGUCUUCUAUCCAGCUAACAUGUGGCUAAUUAAACUAGGUUAAGUCAUUCCUUCCGGGAUUUGCGACCCAGUAAUACGCAAGUGUGUCUCAUACGCGAAAUAAUCCCUAGCUAUCAUCUUUAUCACUAAUCAUUCUAUUAUUCCAUUAAUAUUCAUUAAAUUUGACAUUAUAUUUGUAUAAGAUUUAUUAAAAGAUUUCAUUUCCAUAUUAUAG